rnacentral:lncRNA from 1 species
CCACCACCACCACCACCACCACCACCACCACCCUCGUCUGCGGCAAUGGCAGCGCGGUGGCGUGCUCCGGCUAGACCAAAACCUAAUUAGGGGGUAAUUAAGGGGGGUGAUUAAGGCAUUAAUCUCGAUCCAGCUCUGGUUUAGGCGACGGCACAGCUUCGCCUGUGCCCGCAUUUGUAAUUACAGAAAAAAAGUUUUGUCUUGGUGCUAAUUUGUAAAUGGAUUUUCGUUGCAUUCUGAUCAGAAAAAAAAUGAGAAAAAGGAGGCAAAGAUGGAUGGUGGCAGGCAAAAUUUCUCCUCACUUUUUGCUUUCCCCUUCUCAGUUUCUGGUUUUGUUUUUAAAAAACUUUAAAGCAAGUUUAAAC